GCUAGCCCAGCAGCAACACAAUUGAGCAAGAAAUGAGUUACCAGGACUGAACCCCUCACUUCAAAGCCAGAGGAUCACAAAAUGCGUGGAGAACCUGCAACACGACUGAGGUCAGGAAUGAGAGUCUGUCUUUCAGCCACUGAUGUGACGUGAGGGGACAUCUGCCAGCUCAGGAGGGAGUCUGAAGCCCAAGAAGAUAAUUGAAGCAGUAAUAAAAUCUCAUUCAGGACUCAUUUUAGGCAGAAGGCAACACCCCAAAUAAGAACCCCUGGCCGUGGACCUGGGACAGCAGCAAUCUUGUUUUCUCUGCAGAACAGAGUCAUGGGAUUCCACAGCCACUGAGGCUCAGCAUUUAGGUACUGCCCAGUGCAACCAGCCUGCAUGUACCUGCCCUCCUCUGCCAGUGAAUUUUCCCCUGUAAUAAAAUCUGACCCAUUAUAAUCCCCAUUUCAUCCUACACAGGCAACGAACUGUUCUGAUUCUGCUUGCAAUCUAGUAUUUUGUUUUCUACAUGUUUCAUUAGCUUAAAGGGAGAAAAAAAUAUUUGUAAUGUUGAUUGUAGCUCAUUUCCUGCUCAGUGCUAUUGCCUGUAGGCCAGAGACUGAUAGACUGAUGUCAGGUCUAUGAUACCAGAUCAAAAUGGAAGGCAAGCUCUGAAUAUAAGUUAUUCAAAGUUGUGUUAAAAAAUAAUAAUAAUAAUUGUUCCUGCUAGGAUCUACAUUAACAAAUAUACAAUGACCUUGAUGCAGUGGUGGUUAUCAAAGAAAAAUGUGAGAUUAAUGAUGGAGAGAAAUGUUACCCAGCAGUUUACCCAACAUUAUGAAAUUCUAUUUCAAAGGAAAUGACAAUGAUCACUAAUCUUAGUGUUUUCAUUGUACUUAUCUUAAAAUAACAAUCACUUUUAGUAGGUAAAUGAGAUUUGGCCUUCCAGGAGAUAAGAAAAAAUGUUAAAGUUAUGUUUAUGAAAAGCCAAAUUGAGUGCUGUGAUUGCUGUGACCUUUUUUCUGUAUGCUGUCCUCAUCUACAUAGUCCUAUCUAUAGAUGAACUCUAAAAACCC
rnacentral:lncRNA from 1 species